AUGUUGGAUUUAAGACAUACCCCCAAUUCAGUAUCAUCUCAUCUUAACUUAUUAUAUCUACAAAAACCCCAUUUACAAAUAAGAUCACAUUCUGAAGUUCCAAGUGAACUGAAUGAAUUUUUGGAGGACACUAUUCAACUCACUAUAAUUACCUUUAAAACACUCAUGUAUGACUUCCCUGUUGGUUUCUCACUCACAUUCCUUUCUGGACAGAUGCCAGCCCUGCCAUUUCUGCUGAUUCAGCUGCUUUGCCCAGCAACCAAGGAACCAGGUCUGCCCAGCCCUUCCAUCCUUCGAGCGGCACUGGCCCAGCAGAGCAGGACACUAGAACACGGUAGCAGUGGCCCAUGGGAAGAGAUGAGGCCUCAAAAAAUGAAUGCAUCUGGAGACCUAGCCUCCUUCUCCUCUUUGUACCAACCCAACUCCGAAACCUCUGGUACUGCACAGUCCACUGUAGCCCCUCAUUCAUAUACUCAGAGUCACUCUUCUGGCUGUGGCGAGGACAUCCUGUGACAUGAUGCCUAGAGAGUCUGGAAGAAUGUUCUCCAGAACUUUUCCAGCCCUAUCCAACAGAAUUCUUGGGUGGGAACUUGGAGGCACUGGAUAUUAUCUUUAAAUGAAGAGAUCAAAU
rnacentral:lncRNA from 1 species